rnacentral:rRNA from 1 species
GGGGUACACGAGCGGCGAACGGGUGAGUAACACGUGGGUGAUCUGCCUUGCACUUCGGGAUAAGCCUGGGAAACUGGGUCUAAUACCGGAUAUGACCACUGAAUGCAUGUUCGGUGGUGGAAAGAUUUAUCGGUGCGAGAUGGGCCCGCGGCCUAUCAGCUUGUUGGUGAGGUAACGGCUCACCAAGGCGACGACGGGUAGCCGACCUGAGAGGGUGACCGGCCACACUGGGACUGAGACACGGCCCAGACUCCUACGGGAGGCAGCAGUGGGGAAUAUUGCACAAUGGGCGAAAGCCUGAUGCAGCGACGCCGCGUGCGGGAUGACGGCCUUCGGGUUGUAAACCGCUUUUGACAGGGACGAAGCGCAAGUGACUGUACCUGUAGAAUAAGGACCGGCCAACUACGUGCCAGCAGCCGCGGUAAUACGUAGGGUCCGAGCGUUGUCCGGAAUUACUGGGCGUAAAGAGCUUGUAGGCGGUUCGUCGCGUCGUUUGUGAAAACUUGGGGCUCAACCUUAAGCUUGCAGGCGAUACGGGCGGACUAGAGUACUUCAGGGGAGACUGGAAUUCCUGGUGUAGCGGUGAAAUGCGCAGAUAUCAGGAGGAACACCGGUGGCGAAGGCGGGUCUCUGGGAAGUAACUGACGCUGAGAAGCGAAAGCAUGGGUAGCAAACAGGAUUAGAUACCCUGGUAGUCCAUGCCGUAGACGGUGGGUACUAGGUGUGGGGCUCCUUCCACGGACUCCGUGCC